AUUGAACGCUGGCGGCAGGCUUAACACAUGCAAGUCGAACGAGUGGCGGACGGGUGAGUAAUGCUUGGGAAUCUAGCUUAUGGAGGGGGAUAACUACGGGAAACUGUAGCUAAUACCGCGUACCAUAGGAUGAGCCCAAGUGGGAUUAGGUAGUUGGUGAGGUAAAGGCUCACCAAGCCGACGAUCUCUAGCUGGUCUGAGAGGAUGACCAUCAACACGUGGACUGAGACAGGGCCGAGAUGCCGACGGGAGGCAGCAGUGGGGAAUAGUGCGGAAUGGGCGCAAGCUGACGCAGCCAGGCGGCGUGAAUGAAGAAGGCCUUCGGGUUGUAAAGUCCUUUCGGGAGAGAGGCGUUAACUACAGAAGAAGCACCGGCUAAGUCCGUGCGAGCAGCCGCGGUAAUUC
rnacentral:rRNA from 1 species